AUAGGUAUUGGAUGCUGGAAUGCACUAAUACCCAAAGCUUCGGCACCUAAGUAUUGGGCUGCGACCUAUCAGAUUGUAGUGAGUGUAAAAUACUCACUAGUCUAUAACGGGUAGGGGCCAUGAGAGUGGAAGCCUCGAGAUGCCUUUCUGAGACACGAAGGCAGGUCCUACGGGACGCAGCAGGCGCGAAACCUUUCCAAUGCACUAACGUGUGAGAAGGGAACCCUGAGUGGUUAUGCACUGCAUAACCUUUUGUUUUGUUUCGACGGCAAGACGAAUAAGUGGUGGGCAAUACAGGUGCCAGCCGCCGCGGUAAUACCUGAGCCACUAAUGGUGAUCACGAUUAUUGGGUCUGAAGCGUUCGUAGCCGGUCCAUUAAGUCUCUGGUGAAAUCUGGCAGCUAACUGUCAGGCGUGCUGGAGAUACUACUGGACUUGGGAUCGGAAGAGGUCAGAGGUAUUCCAUGUGUAGGGGUUAAAUCCUUUAAUCCAUGGAGGACCACCUGUGGCGAAGGCGUCUGACUGGAACGAGUCCGACGGUGAGGGACGAAAGCGUGGGGAGCGAAUGGGAUUAGAUACCCCAGUAGUCCACGCUGUAAACGAUGCCCGCUUGGUGUUGCAAAUCUUACGCGGAUUUGCAGUGCCGGAGUGAAGAUGUUAAGCGGGCCACCUGGGGAGUACGUCCGCAAGGAUGAAACUUAAGGGAAUUGGCGGGGGAACACACAAGGAGUGGAGGCUGCGGUUC
rnacentral:rRNA from 1 species